rnacentral:rRNA from 1 species
AUUGAACGCUGGCGGCAGGCUUAACACAUGCAAGUCGAGCGGAGAUGAGGUGCUUGCACCUUAUCUUAGCGGCGGACGGGUGAGUAAUGCUUAGGAAUCUGCCUAUUAGUGGGGGACAACAUUCCGAAAGGGAUGCUAAUACCGCAUACGUCCUACGGGAGAAGGCAGGGGAUCUUCGGACCUUGCGCUGAUAGAUGAGCCUAAGUCGGAUUAGCUAGUUGGUGGGGUAAAGGCCUACCAAGGCGACGAUCUGUAGCGGGUCUGAGAGGAUGAUCCGCCACACUGGGACUGAGACACGGCCCAGACUCCUACGGGAGGCAGCAGUGGGGAAUAUUGGACAAUGGGGGGAACCCUGAUCCAGCCAUGCCGCGUGUGUGAAGAAGGCCUUAUGGUUGUAAAGCACUUUAAGCGAGGAGGAGGCUACUGAGACUAAUACUCUUGGAUAGUGGACGUUACUCGCAGAAUAAGCACUGGCUAACUCUGUGCCAGCCGCCGCGGUAAUAC